GAGAGACUGGAAGCCAAAGUGAGAAACAUAAAAUUGUAUGGCUUUUCAUUUCAUUGCCUGAAACCAAGAAGCUGGAUAAGUGAUGAGGUUAUUGAUGCAUAUUUGAGCUGUGUAGUUGAGAAAGCAGAUGGAAAGAUACAAGCCAUCUCAUCAGUAGUUUCCACUGCCAUUCUCUCAGGCAGAGCUACACAAAUGAAAGUGAAGAGUGAAUUACUUCAGAAUGAUAUAUUAUUGCUUCCUUACCACACACCAGGUCAUUGGCUUCUUGCGGUAAGAUGUUUUGUAUUGUACUUCUGGAUUAUGAGCAAAAAAUGUGGUAAUAAAUAAGAGAUUUGUAACACAACUGUGGUAGCGGCAAUAUAAUUUCCGGUGCUGCUUGUUUUCUGUGAGUUCAAUGCAUGCAAAGGAAAGUAGAAUGUAAUUGUUAAAAAUAAAUUGAUACUGUCAAUUUACAUUGUUCAUGUAACAUGGAAGAAUACAUUCUGUAAAGAAUUGAUUGAUUUAACAAUAUGCUUAUAUCUUGUGUGUUACUGAGACAUUACAAAUGAUAAUGUUAAUUGCAUACUGAUUGUUGAUAAAUCAGCAUACAUUUUUUGAAAUAAUCACAUUACCAAUACAUUUUGUGAAUAUAUUUAAACUUGCAGAUAGCCAUGACGGAAAAAAAAGGAAUUGUUAAUAAUUGAUCCCUUGUGUGAUGAGAUCAGAUAUGAAAGAAUAUGCCUGAGGAAUUGGAGGUGAUUUAUUAGAUACUUACUUUUACAGUGGACGUUAAAUGUUCCAUUGAAAUUUUUUUAAAGGGAAUGUAACAAUAAUGAGACUGUCUUCCUGUUAGCUACAAAUAAACACUGAAACAGCAUGUACUUGUGCUGAAUAUGCUUAAUAAUGGACUUUGAGUGAACUUGUGUGAUUUGACUCUGGGGAACAACUUCACAGAAUGUGGACACGAAACAGUAGCAUGUUGCAUGAUUGAGAAUGUGUUAUCAACAUGGGGCACAGCAACUCGGGUGACACACUGUGUAAGUGUGAGACAAUAAUAUGAAAACAAGUGUGUAUACAUGUGAGCAAUAAAUCAUUUCAAUUACUAAUUAAAAAGCGAGAGAAUGGAUUUUUAUGUAUUUCCAAAAACCAGAGUGGGGAAAAAAAGGAAAGCAAAGCUCAUUUAUGCAGUCUGCUAAUGUACUCUCUAAAAAUUUAAGAAACUUCCUCAAACGCUUAACUAAUAAAUCCUCAUCUGAUUGGAGCAGUAAAAUUGUUCAGCAUCCCAGACAAAGUGAUGGCCACAACUGCGGACCACUCAUCUUAAAGGUAUUGAAUACCAAAUUGGCAUUAUUAUUGGUUAUGUAUGUUUAAUUAUCCAUUUUGAAAGUAAAUGCCAGAGAUUUCCAGUGGGCACUGCACUGGUGUCCUUGCCAAGGUGUAUGGGGUGGGCUUGUGGCCCCAAGAAGGGAUGGGGUCUCCAGUGGAAGGUGUGGUGCUGGGGGACCAGAUUCUACCAUCCAGCCCUUCCUGACAGCUGCUGCUGCAGUGGCCAGGAGCGCCAGGCCCCUGUAAAUCACUGUAACCCAGAACCCCUUUCGGUCCCCCACAUUAGGCAGCCCUGCCAGGAGCAUUCAACAGCAUUGCCGGACCCUAUGGCAGGGCCGCAGAUGCUGGGGUGAUGGGAUAAAGUGGGCAGCGCUGUUAAAGCAUAAAGCACUGCCACAGCGGAAGUGUAACGUCAGCCAUGUACGGGCUGGAACCAGUGGCCAGUUCUUACCGGUACACUGGACCAGCCCACUUUCACCUCUGGUAAUUAUGAGGUUUAUUCUAAAUAUCAGUGUUGUUAGUUUGCAGAAAUGUAUUUGCAGCACAAAGACAUCAGUAUGCUAGAAAUAACACAGAAGGCUAAUACUGCAUUUAGAAGACAUAUAGCAAUUCUUCUAAUGAAGGAGUCAGAAAGCGUGGAGGACUACUGCAUAUGCUGCAACCUUAUCAACUGUGAAAAAGAAAUUGAGGAUGGCACGAUGGUCCAGUGUGAUUCUUGCAAGAGGUGGGCACAUGUACCCUGCAUUACAGAAAGAACCAAUCAAGAAAACCUGACAUAUGAGAAGAAAGAGUUACAACUGCAAGACAUGUGCAUAGUUCACUUCAUUACCAAACAAAAAGGCAAUAAAAAACCCAUUGUUUAAAUGCCUCUUGUUCAAAACAUAAUGCAACCCAAAGAAAUAUAUUUUUAUGUAUAUAUCAGAUUAUAAUAAAUGUUCUUG